rnacentral:rRNA from 1 species
UACGUAGGUGGCAAGCGUUGUCCGGAUUUACUGGGCGUAAAGAGCGCGCAGGCGGUCGUAUAAGUCGAAUGUGAAAGCCCCCGGCUCAACUGGGGAGGGUCAUUCGAUACUGUUCGACUCGAAGGCAGGAGAGGGAAGUGGAAUUCCGGGUGUAGUGGUGAAAUGCGUAGAUAUCCGGAGGAACACCAGUGGCGAAGGCGGGUCUCUGGGCCGAUACUGACGCUGAGGAGCGAAAGCGUGGGGAGCGAACAGG